CCUACGGGGGGCUGCAGUGAGGAAUAUUGGUCAAUGGGCGGGAGCCUGAACCAGCCAAGCCGCGUGAGGGAAGAAGGUACAGCGUAUCGUAAACCUCUUUUGUCAGGGAACAAAGGCGGGGACUAGUCCCCGGAUGAGGGUACCUGUAGAAAAAGCAUCGGCUAACUCCGUGCCAGCAGCCGCGGUAAUACGGAGGAUGAGAGCGUUAUCCGGAUUUAUGGGGGUUAAGGGGUGCGCAGGCGGCUUGUUAAGUCAGCGGUAAAAGCCAGGGGCUAAACCCCGGCGAGCCGUUGAAACUGGCGGUCUGGAGUUGGAGAGAAGUACGCGGAAUGCGCGGUGUAGCGGUGAAAUGCUUAGAGAUCGCGCAGAACCCCGAUUGCGAAGGCAGCGUACCGGCUCCACACUGACGCUGAGGCACGAAAGCGUGGGUAUCGAACAGGAUUAGAUACCCGAGUAGUC
rnacentral:rRNA from 1 species